AAGUCGUAACAAGGUAUCCGUAGGUGAACCUGCGGAUGGAUCAUUAACACUAAAAAACAAAAACGUUGCUCCUAAAAAAAGCAAUAACCCCAUUAACUUUGCGAACUUGUCAACGGGGGGGAAGAGGAAGGAAUUUCUCUUUUCUUUCCCGUUCGUUUUUUUCUCCUUUUCACCUUUGAUUAUUUAAACCCCAUCAUCAAUUCAUUUUGAUGACAAAACAAAACAAAACAAACUUGACUAAGACAAAAACAAAUGAGAAAACAAAAUAAUACAACUUUUAACGACGGAUAUCUUGGCUCUC
rnacentral:misc_RNA from 1 species